UCGGACUGGAGUCUGCAACCCGACUCCACGAAGUUGGAUUCGCUAGUAAUCGCGCAUCAGCCAUGGCGCGGUGAAUACGUUCCCGGGCCUUGUACACACCGCCCGUCAAGCCAUGGGAGCCGGGGGCGCCUGAAGUCCGGGACCGCGAGGACCGGCCUAAGGCGAAACUGGUGACUGGGGCUAAGUCGUAACAAGGUACC
rnacentral:rRNA from 1 species